CUCUCUCAUAAAACUUAUGAAAUUACACUAACAUGAUAUCAUGGAAACGAGGUAGAACCGAGAACAUGAAUCUAUCAUCAAAACGAUCUAGAAACGGGAAGAAAAUGGAAGAAUACCCAGGUAAGUUAAAAAAAAAUUGUCACGUAGGUGCAUGAGCCGAAUUUUUGAGCUUGAGGUAGACUUAUCUUAUAAUUCAGAGGAGAAUGUGUAUGGGGUUGCAGUGGAUGUAUUGAGUCAUAGAAGAACUUAAAUUGUUCUGUAGAAAUUAAACAAAGGGCAAACUUCUACAGAAGCAAUCAUUCUUUUGCUGGAGGAGGCUCCUUGGAUGGCUAUCACAUCAUUCCUUUGGUGGAAGCCUAGGGCAUUUUAAAUAAUGUUCCUUGCUUGGGUUCAUGCCUUCUCUUCAGCAAGUAUGAAAAUGCGAUCAUUGUAGGGAAUAAGUGUUAGGGUUCGCUUGGGAGUAUAAAUCUCGGGGUAAACCCUAGCCAUGAAAAAUGAUGCAUAUCUGGUGAAGCGUUGAGAUUUCUUAUAUAGAUUUAGGUUUGAUUCAAUUGUAGCUCGGUAUUAUCCUUAAUAUUCUUGGCGCUUUUAUUUGGAAUGGAUGUUUAUUGAAUGAUUCAUCUGUGUGAAAGAAAGCUAGUUUCCUUGGAAUGUUGCAGUCGUUGCAGUUUAAAGGAUGGAUGAGAAUUUGCCCGAUACCAUGGCUUGUGGCUAUCAUGUUGAAAGGUGGAUAAUUGCACAACAUCCUGUUUGAAUCUUGAAAGUAAAGGAUUUGUUCGAGGAGGAAAAUUCUAUUCAAGAAUGCCAUUUAGAGAUUUCUGUAUACAGUGGCAAACAAAUAGAAACAUAAAUAAUGUUAAAAGAGCAGGGGUGGCCAUCAAAUUCCAGGCCUGGUCCAGAACAUUCUGCAAUUUCGUCAAACAUUUAAAGAUAUAUUUUUUGAAUCCCAAAUGCAUAAUUGUAUUAAUUUAUUUGAAGACUAUAUUUUGAGAGGGCGAAAAUUUCUCUCCCAUAAUUCCUAGAUUUUUGGGUAUGAAUUUAGAAAUUUAUUUUGUAAAUUUAAGUUUUUUUUUGCAUAUAUUACUAAUUUAGAACAAUAAUUUUCUUUUUAAAAAACAAUUUAUGUUUGCAUCAUAUUUUUGCAAACUAAAUUGUAGAUGACCACAAUUAAAAAAUUUAAAAUUUCUAUUGUUAUUUGUUUACACAACAUACAUCUUGAACAAUUAUUUUUUUUUAUAAUAUAUUUUUUUUUAAAUGUCAAAUGAAAGUCGUUGCAAUGACAAGACUGCCAUACAAAAUUCAUAUGACAGGCAGGGGUGGCCAUCAAAUUCCAGGCCUGGUCCAGAACAUUCUACAAUUUCGUUAAACAUUUAAAGAUGUAUUUUUUGAAUCCCAAAUAUAUAAUUGUAUUAAUUUAUUUGAAAACUAUAUUUUGAGAGGGCAAAAAUUUCUCAACCCAAAUUAAUUUUUUGCAUUGUGAAUUUAAAAACAUUGACGGAAGGAAACUUUCACCCUGCUCUAAAUUCAUGCAGAACAUAUAGUCUUCAAAUAAAUUAAUGCUAUUACAAAAAUAUAUCUGGAAGAGAUUCCAGCACUAUUUAAAUUGAAGAUUCUCAAAGAUUGUAGGACUAUUUAAAUGGAAGGUUCUCAAAGAUUGCCUUACAAUAUGGAAUCUCAAAGAUUUUCUUCCUGAAAAGUUUUAUUCAUGCAAGUAUAUCAAAGCAACUCCGGGAGGAAAUGAAGGUCUUUAUGGAAGUUUCUAAAUUAGUGCAAAAGAUUCUCUUUCUAAAUUUUGUGCUACCAGUCCUAAAAUGCAGAACAAUUUUAGUAAGAAUUUGAUUUGAUUGCGAAUUUGAUUUCAGUCGGCUUUUUAUUUUUGAAAAUUUCUUGUGAGAAGUAAAGAUAGCAAGUUUGAAAUUCGUUCAAUCCCAAAAAAGCGCGAAUCGCCAAAUUCUGAAGAUGUGGGCACGCGUCCAUGAUUUCUUUAAACUUAGCAUCAUCAACAUUCGGAUUAUGGACAGGAUGAAAUGUUUUCAGGAAAUGGAAAACCCCAAAAUUAGUGGGUAUCUUGGGAAGAUUAAUGAAUUUCAUUUUUAAGGUAAUGAGGUUUUCACACCUGAAAACAGGGUUCCCAAUCUCCACCAUGAAAGAAUCGCUAAUCCUCUUAGCGGUCUUGGAAUCUCUAUAACAGAUUUGUAGAGUCCAUGUGUUCCACCUGUUUUCCAGCUACAAGGCAAAUCCAGUUGUUCAUAUCGGCAGUGUUAGGGUUAUCCAACGCGAUUUGAAGGUCCAAACAACGAAGACGAGCAUCCAGAUGGAGCAGGGCAUCGUUAAUUAUGGCCUGUAUUUUGUCAUCUUUCUGUUUCGCAAAAUCUUUGCAAUAAAAAUUGAGAAAGGGUAUUUUCCUCCAUAAGACUCGCCAUCUCUUCAAGCAGGGAAAAACGUACAACAUCUCUGUAAGAAAUCUGACUGAAUAUAAGUUGAAAUAAAAUUAUCUGAUUAUGCAGAAAUCCUGGCUAAUGCUAUUACCAU